UACGAAUGGGGCAAGCGUUGUUCGGAAUCACUGGGCUUAAAGCGUGCGUAGGCGGCUAUGAAAGUCAGGAGUGAAAUCCCAGGGCUUAACCCUGGAAUUGCUUUUGAAACUCCAUAGCUAGAAUCCGGGAGAGGUUAGCAGAAUUCCGAGUGUAGAGGUGAAAUUCGCAGAUAUUCGGAGGAAUACCAGUGGCGUAGGCGGCUAACUGGACCGGCAUUGACGCUGAGACGCGAAAGCGUGGGGAGCAAACAGG
rnacentral:rRNA from 1 species